rnacentral:rRNA from 1 species
AACGAACGCUGGCGGCAGGCCUAACACAUGCAAGUCGAGCGAGGACUUCGGUCCUAGCGGCGGACGGGUGAGUAACGCGUGGGAACGUACCCUUUGCUACGGAAUAGCCCCGGGAAACUGGGAGUAAUACCGUAUGUGCCCUUUGGGGGAAAGAUUUAUCGGCAAAGGAUCGGCCCGCGUUGGAUUAGGUAGUUGGUGGGGUAAUGGCCUACCAAGCCGACGAUCCAUAGCUGGUUUGAGGGGAUGAUCAGCCACACUGGGACUGAGACACGGCCCAGACUCCUACGGGAGGCAGCAGUGGGGAAUCUUAGACAAUGGGCGCAAGCCUGAUCUAGCCAUGCCGCGUGAGCGAUGAAGGCCUUAGGGUUGUAAAGCUCUUUCAGGGGGGAAGAUAAUGACUGUACCCCCAGAAGAAGCCCCGGCUAACUCCGUGCCAGCCGCCGCCGUAACAC